rnacentral:rRNA from 1 species
AUUGAACGCUGGCGGCAGGCAUAACCCAUGCAAGUCGAGCGAGCGGCGGACGGGUGAGUAAUGUAUGGGGACCUGCCCGAUAGAGGGGGAUAACUCCUGGUAACGGUAGCUAAUACCGCAUACUAUCUGAUGAACCCCUAUGGGAUGAGCUAGUAGGUGGGGUACAGGCUCACCGAGGCGACGAUCCCUAGCUGGUCUGAGAGGAUGAUCAGCCACACUGGGACUGAGACACGGCCCAGACUCCUACGGGAGGCAGCAGUGGGGAAUAUUGCACAAUGGGCGCAAGCCUGAUGCAGCCAGGCCGCGUGUAUUAAGAAGGCCUUAGGGUUGUAAAGUACUUUCAGCGGGGAGGCGUUACCCGCAGAAGAAGCACCGGCUAACUCCGUGCAAGCAGCCGCGGUAAUUC